ACUACCCUAACAACACACAACAUUCCAGGAAUGUACUACCAAAGUUCUAUCAAUAUUUGAAUGUCCUGGACAUUUAGGGAACAUUCGGUGAACAUCUGUUUAAAUUAUUCCUGGAAUGUUACCAUAAGACAUUCUGUGAACAUACUACCAAUGUUCCUAUAUUUUAAGUUGCGAAAUAAUACAUACAUGUAACAGAUACAACAUUACUUAUAUAACAUACCAGACAAACUAAGUGACACUUUAGGCCUACAGUGCAAUAAUAUGUCAAAUUUAAAGAGUUUCCCAAGUUCAAUUAAUACAAUAUUAUAAACAUACAAAUGUAAUAAAAAUUAUUGUUCGCGAAUAUUCAAUUUGGAAUGCGAUUUUGUUCAUAAAAAAAAUACUUAUAACUUAUGCAAAACCCAAGAGAGGCAUUUAUAUUUAUUUCUUUUGCGUUCAUUUUCAAAUUCGCCGUGCAUAUAUUUUUGUGCAUGGCGCUUGAGAGGGCAUCACGUGACUAAAAACGACCAACCAACGACCUCGCUUCGGCCAUCUUGGCAUCUUCAUCUUGGACACCUUGCUUUGCCGUGGGUGGAUCGUUGUUUGGUAUUAUUUGUGCUUUUUAAGAAUAUUUUUUUAAUUCGGAUACUUUUAUAAUAGCUUUAAUAGUAUUAUUAACAUAGUGAAUAAAAUGGUGUCCUGUUUUUAACGCAGUUGGAGUAGCAGAAACAAAUGUAGAUAACAAAAUCUGCAGGAAUAACGUUUCAAUUAUGACAGAAGCUCCAAACAAAUGACUGUGAAUGAAAAGCCCUAUUAAAAGCUUUCCAGAAGAUCCUGCGAAGAAGACAUGAAGUAUAGAUCAGAUUUGUUAAUAGAGGAGUAUGUUCAAAACACUUUUUAGAAAAAGAUAUUGACAGAACUUCACUUUCAUCUGUUCGUUUAAGAGACUGUGCUGUUCCAAUAGCUUAUGUCACACAGAAUCAGCUGAGAGAAGUGGUCUACAAAAAACCAGAAAGGAAACGGAAUAUGUGGCUACGAAAAGCAAAAGAAAGGUUUACAAAGCAAAUGUGACACAUUUUUUUAUAAUAUUUAGGAAUGUCAGUAAAUUACAUUAAAAAAUGUAUGUAAAGAUUUUUUGCAAUAAAAAUGUUUAUAUUUA